rnacentral:rRNA from 1 species
GACGAACGCUGGCGGCGUGCUUAACACAUGCAAGUCGAACGGAAAGGCCCUGCUUUUGUGGGGUGCUCGAGUGGCGAACGGGUGAGUGACACGUGAGUAACCUGCCCUUGACUUUGGGAUAACUUCAGGAAACUGGGGCUAAUACCGGAUAGGAGCUCCUGCUGCAUGGUGGGGGUUGGAAAGUUUCGGCGGUUGGGGAUGGACUCGCGGCUUAUCAGCUUGUUGGUGGGGUAGUGGCUUACCAAGGCUUUGACGGGUAGCCGGCCUGAGAGGGUGACCGGCCACAUUGGGACUGAGAUACGGCCCAGACUCCUACGGGAGGCAGCAGUGGGGAAUAUUGCACAAUGGGCGGAAGCCUGAUGCAGCAACGCCGCGUGCGGGAUGACGGCCUUCGGGUUGUAAACCGCUUUCGCCUGUGACGAAGCGUGAGUGACGGUAAUGGGUAAAGAAACACCGGCUAACUACGUG